CUUUUGUACUUUAGGAUGAGGUCUCACUUUCAAGGAACGUAUUUUUAUUGGCACUUUCUGAGGUUUUCCCCAACUGGCCCUUUCCUCUCACUGCUUCUUUCUUCCUCAGAAGGUUUCUUCUGAUUUCAGCUGCUUGUAGUAGCCCUUGCGUGAAUUUUGUUAUCUGAGGAUUAAAUCUGUACAUACAUUUUCUAUUGCUGUGUAACAAAUUGCCAUAAAUUUAGUGGCUUAAAACAGCAUGUAUUUGUUAUCUCAGUUCCAUGGGGCAGGGAUGUGAGCACAGCUUAGGUAGGUCCUCUGCUCAGAGUCUCACAAGGUUGCAAUCAAGGUGCUACCUGGGCUGCAUUCUCAUCCGGAGGUUUGACAGGGAAGAAUCACUUUCAAUUCUUCCAGGUUGCUGGUAGAAUUCAUUUCCUUGCAGCUUUAGAACUGAGGGCCUGUGUUUUUUGCUGACUAUUGUCUUCUUUAUAGGUUGUCCUCAGGUCCUUCAGAUGGAAUGAGUUCCAGGAGGCCACCCCAGUUCCUCACUGCAUGGGCUUCUUCAACACAGCUGCUUACUUCUCUCUCCCUCCAGUCAGCUAAGUCACCAUCUUAUGUAAUGUGACCUAAUCGUGGCAGUGACAUCCCAUCACUUUUGCCAUAUUCUCUUGGUUAGAAGCAAAUCACGAGUCCAACCUACAUUCAAAGAGAGGAGUGACACAAAGGCACGGAUAUCACCAAAUCAUUGGGAGUCACCUUGGAUCCAUCACCACAGUCUGUCUCCUGGUUUCACUGAAAAUGGAGCUUCAGAGUUUAGUGUCUAUUCUGCUUUGUUUUUAAUGUUUCUUAUUUCUCUCCAGGAGGAAAGGUAAAAAAAAUACUGACUUGGACCUCUAUGUUCAUACUGGAGGUCCAUUGAUAGAAAUUUUAAAGAUUUAUUGAGGGAUGCUAUUUAUUUCAGCCAUAUUAUGCUUUUUGAUAUGCAACAUCUUAACAUCUGUACAGUAAACACAUAACAUUUCCUGCUGUACCUACUCAUCUAAAUGAAACUUAAGAUUAUAAUUUGAGUCUGUAAUGUUUAGCGUGGUUGAGAAGAGAAAAGGUAGAAAGAAAACUAAUGUUAUUAUGUGUUAGAUGAUUUAAAAUUUUAUUCUGAUAUGUUGUAUUUAUUUUAUAAAUUAAGAAACUGAAGGUCAGAGAUUAAGAGAUUGGCACAGAGCCAUAGAGAGAGUUAUGAGGGAGCAUGGGGUUGGAGGAGCUCAAAUUGGUACCUUGAUCUAUCUCCCUAGGAAGUUUAUUCUAUUUCUACUGUAAUGUAUUUUGUCCCUAAGUGGUUCCAAUGCUGAAAGUUGUGUAGAAAACUCAAAUAAUGCAGUGAACAUUUCAUUAUGUGAAAUUACCCCCAAAUGGGGUAUUCUACUCCUUGUCAAAAUUGAAAAGAAUGUGCAUUCUGAGGUUGCUACAGAUAGUGUUUUAUAUGUGUCAUUUAUGUCAAUUUGGCUAAGGUAGUUGUUCAAAUAUUAUAUUUUCUUACCACAUAUUUCCUCUGCUCAUUCUAUCACACAUCUGUACUGAGACAGGUGUGUUAAAAUCUCUCACUAUAAUUAUGGAUUUGCCUGUCUUUUUUCAUAUUUUGACAAUUUCAUACAAAUUUGGAAUGUUCAUAUCUUCCUGUUCAAUUGAUAACUUUAUCAUUAUAAAGUGUUUUUCUUUAUCUCACAUAAUAUUUUUUGCCUCAAAUUCCAGUUGUUUAAUAGUAGUAUAGCUGCACCAGCUUUCUUUUGCUGAGUGUUUUUAUGGUCUGUGUCUUUUCCUUCCCUUUAUUUUCAUCACAUCUAUGUCUUUAUUUAAAGUGUGUUUCUUGCAUACAGCAUGUAGUUUGAUCGUGUCUUAUAAUAAAGGAAAAUUCUUAUCUUUUAA
rnacentral:lncRNA from 1 species